CUUUCAAGAUUAUUCUUUGUUUGUUUUACUAUUUUCGCAGCACAAAAUAUCUACCAAAUUUGGUAGGUUAUACUUUCAUUAGGAGUACAUAAAUAUCAUUGGUGGCAGCUGAUUUGUUUUUUUCAAAAACAACUAUUCGCAGAGACAACUUUGUCUCAGAUUAACUAUCAACUAUAUGUGUCAUGAUACAUCCUACAAUGACAGUUGUAGCGAGUUUUCCUAUCCAAAUGUAUUAAAAAGAAAUGUGAUGCCAACGGACAUAUUGUGUAAUUAUGACAACUCGUAUAUACAAAUUGAUUAUUAACAGGAUAAAAGUUGUAAGAUUUUACUGUGUUUAAGUCGUUGCUUAUAUAUCCUCAUUGAUUGUGUUGUCACAGUUUCUCUAUUUUUUCAUCUUUGAGAUGAUAUUUUGACUUCUCUUUUUAUUUGUGAAGGGAUAGUUGUAUUUGCUAUAUCUUCUGGCUGACUAAUUUCUAUGCUGGAUGAUUAAGAGAGGGAGAAAUUAGUGAAGCACAUGUAGAGUGUAUGUACAAACACCCGCGGACCAGAUGGACUAAAUUUUGGCCAAAGGUUUCUGAAGAAUCCUAUGGGAAAUUAAACAGUGAUGUUCUUGAAGACUUGAAGAUUAGAAGUUACAAAGUCAAGCUGCAAGUUUUGAAGACUUGAUACAAGAUGAAAAAUUGAUUUUGUUUUACUAGGAAGUCAUUUAGGGAAAUCAUAUCAUUUUUUGCCAAGUGACUGUAUAAAUUAUUUAUGAUUUACAUGAACUAUCAGUGGGAUGUUAUACACUUUUUGUAUGCCUUUAUAAUAA